ensembl:lncRNA
CCUUGCUGUCACCCUGCUGUCACCCUGCUGUCACCCUGCUGUCACCCUGCUGUCACCUUGCUGUCACCCUGUUGUCACCCUGCUGUCACCUUGUUGUCACCCUGCUGUCACCUUGCUGUCACCCUGCUGUCACCCUGCUGUCACAAGGAAGCUUUGAAAUCCUCUUCAGUCCCUUUCACAGAAUCUCAUGUGGUCUGAGAUCCUCUAUCUAGGGUGGUUUCUGUGGUCUGAGAUCCUCUAUCUAGGGUGGUUUCUGUGGUCUAGGGUGGUUUCUGUGGUCUAGGGUGGUUUCUGUGGUCUAGGGUGGUUUCUGUGGUCUAGGGUGGUUUCUGUGGUCUAGGGUGGUUUCUGUGGUCUAGGUGGUUUCUGUGGUGUAGGGUGGUUUCUGUGGUCUAGGGUGGUUUCUGUGGUCUAGGGUGGUUUCUGUGGUCUAGGGUGGUUUCUGUGGUCUAGGGUAGUUUCUGUGGUCUAGGGUUGUUUCUGUGGUCUAGGUUGGUUUCUGUGGUCUAGGUUGGUUUCUGUGGUCUAGGGUGGUUUCUGUGGUCUAGGGUGGUUUCUGUGGUCUAGGGUAGUUUCUGUGGUCUAGGGUAGUUUCUGUGGUCUGGGGUGGUUUCUGUGGUCUAGGUUGGUUUCUGUGGUCUAGGGCGGUUUCUGUGGACCCUGCCAUCAUUCAGAGUUUCAAUCAGAACAUGAUCUAGAGACUGAAUCUGGAGACUGAAUCUGGAGACUGAAUCUGGAGACUGAAUCUAGAGACUUGAAUCUAGAGACUUGAAUCUAGAGACUUGAAUCUAGAGACUUGAAUCUAGAGACUUGAAUCUAGAGACUUGAAUCUAGAGACUUGAAUCUAGUGACUUGAAUCUAGAGACUUGAAUCUAGUGACUGGAUCUGGAGACUGCCACCUACUUGCUUACUGUCUACGUGUGUAUCUACAUGCCUGACUUGUUGUGUGUUUCGGUGACUAAUGACUGUUUCAUGUAAAUAUUAAAUAUAUACAUCACACUCCUCUUAACCUGUUUAGUCCAAUGGUUUUAGAUUAUACAAGUCAAUCAAUGACCAUGUGGUUUCUGGGUGAUGUCUUCUUAUAGAUACAGGUCUCUACCUAGCCAUAGGGUCAAGAGUAGUGCACUAUGUAG